AGGGUUCAAAGCUGCAGUGCAGCAAGAUUGUCACCCACCCUUGCUAUUGCUGUGAAACAGCCACAACCCAGACACAUCCCACAGGACCAACUCAUCCCUGUCUCUUCACUGGAAAAUAGGGAGCAGAAACGUCCUUGUGCAUUUAAAUCACUAUAAACCUGAAAUACCAAGUAUAUUUCCACCAUGUAGACCAUUCUAGCAGCAUAACAGAUUCCGUCAGCUUGUGCAACUGAGCAAUUGAAAGGCACAGCUUCCAUUUACCUCGAUUCCACAUUUUGAAUAUGAGGAAAAAAAUGUGACUGCAGAUAAUCACAGGCAAUGAAGAGUAAUGUCUAGUAGUCUGUCUCCAGGAUUGCUCCCUACAGCAUAUUUUCCAACUUUUUUUCCUAUCAUAUUAAAUGACUCAUUUAAUAAGCUAACUGUUUCUUCUUAUCCUAGGGGAGACUAUUUUGCAGUGCAAGAUGUUCGUGUUAUGAGGGUCUCUCUGUUUA